AACGCUAGCUACAGGCUUAACACAUGCAAGUCGAGGGGCAGCAUGGUCUUAGCUUGCUAAGGCCGAUGGCGACCGGCGCACGGGUGAGUAACGCGUAUCCAACCUGCCUUACACUCUUGGACAGCCUUCUGAAAGGGAGAUUAAUACAAGAUGUUAUCAUGAGUAAGCAUUUUCGCAUGAUUAAAGGUUUACCGGUGUAAGAUGGGGAUGCGUUCCAUUAGAUAGUAGGCGGGGUAACGGCCCACCUAGUCUUCGAUGGAUAGGGGUUCUGAGAGGAAGGUCCCCCACAUUGGAACUGAGACACGGUCCAAACUCCUACGGGAGGCAGCAGUGAGGAAUAUUGGUCAAUGGACGAGAGUCUGAACCAGCCAAGUAGCGUGAAGGAUGAAGGUUCUAUGGAUUGUAAACUUCUUUUAUACGGGAAUAAACGAAUCCACGCGUGGAUUUUUGCAUGUACCGUAUGAAUAAGGAUCGGCUAACUCCGUGCCAGCAGCCGCGGUAAUACGGAGGAUCCGAGCGUUAUCCGGAUUUAUUGGGUUUAAAGGGAGCGUAGAUGGGUUGUUAAGUCAGUUGUGAAAGUUUGCGGCUCAACCGUAAAAUUGCAGUUGAUACUGGUUUCCUUGAGUGCAGUUGAGGCAGGCGGAAUUCGUGGUGUAGCGGUGAAAUGCUUAGAUAUCACGAAGAACUCCGAUUG
rnacentral:rRNA from 1 species